AUGGUGGUGGGGACGUGGUGGCCUUGGGGACGAGGAUUUGGGGGCAUGGUGGUCUUGGGGACACGGUGGCCCUGUGGACAAAGGCUUGGGGAUGUGGUGAUGGGGACAAGGGCUUGGGGACAUGGGGAUGGUGAUGGUGGCCUUGGGGACAUGGUGGCCUUGGGGACACGGUGGCCCUGGGGACAAGGUCUUGGGGGCAUGGGGAUGGGGACAAGGGCUUGGGGACAAGGGGAUGGUGGCCUUGGGGCUCUGGUGGCCUUGGGGACAAAGCCUUGGGGAUGUGGUGGCCUUGGGGACAAGGACUUGGGGACACAGUGGUCUUGGGGACUUUGUGGUGGGGACGUGAUGGGCUUGGGGACAAGGUUUUGGGGACAAGGGGAUGGGGUUGGUGGCCUUGGGGACAAGACCUUGGGGACACAAUGGCCUUGGGGACAUGAUGGUGGGGACGUGGUGGCCUUGGGGACAAGACCUUGGGGACAUCGUGGUCUUGGGGAUAAGGCUUUGGGGAUGUGGUGGCCUUGGGGACAUGGGGAUGGGGAUGGUGGCCUUGGGGUUCUGGUGGCCCUGGGGACACGGACUUGGGGACAUGGUGGUGGGGAUGAGGCUUUGGGGGCGUGGUGGUCUUGGGGGCAUCGUGGUGGGGAGGUGGUGGCCUUGGGGACAAGGUUUUGGGGACAUGGGGAUGGGGUUGGUGGCCUUGGGGUUCUGGUGGCCAUGGGAACAAGGACUUGGGGACAUGGUGGCCUUAGGGACACGGUGGUCCUGGGGACAAGACCUUGGGGACUUCAUGGUGGGGAUGUGGUGGCCCUGGGGACAAGGCCCUGGGGACAUGGCGAUGGUGGCCUUGGGAACCCAGUUAUGGGGUUGGUGGCCUUGGGGACAAGGUCUUGGGGUCCUGGUGGUGGCCCCGGGGUCCCAGUGGUGGCCCCGGGGUCCCGGUGGUGGCCCCGGGGUCCCAGUGGUGGCCU
rnacentral:lncRNA from 1 species